AUGAAUGGCUCUCUGAGCCUUCAACCUUGCAAACCAGUGGAAGCAAUGCGUGCUUCGACGCCUCGGCGUCGCUUUUAUGCUACAAUCAGUUAUUUGUGUCUGAAUCAAUCACAAGAAGAUA
rnacentral:misc_RNA from 1 species